rnacentral:lncRNA from 1 species
UUUCUGUGUGCUGGUGUGGUGGUUAGUCUGAACUAUCAGUGAUAACUACUUAAGCCGGCCUCACUGAGCGUGUGCAAAGACAGCUCAUAAAAGGAACAACUAGAACUACUGCUUAGGGGUAGAUUUUGCACUGGUGGACAGAUCGUCUUGCUUCCAGAUGUCUGAAAAGCAAAAUAGACUGUGUCUCUGCUUCCCCUCUGACGUGGAGGUCGGUGCCACUGGCCUCAGCUGGCUUGUGGGAAUUUUGCAGCAGCAGGCGCCCAUGCCAUCCCUCCUGAGCUGUCUCCUUCGGCAGCACAGCCUGGAAGGUGGAGGAGAAUGCAGGGUGGAUAGAGAAGGGCCUCAAUUCACCUCCUUCAAAUCACUUCAUUUGCCAGGACCGAGGGAGAGUUGCACCUGUGCCCGCCGGAUGGACUAGACGUCGUGGACUGUGGGGUGAUGGGAAUAAAUGGAGAAAGGAAUCAGAACCCCAGGUGACUUGUGACAGCCCCUCUCUUUUCAGCUAGAGCCUGACAAUCCAUACUUUAACAUGUAACAUGACAAAUGUAUGUAAGAGAAAGCGAGGAGAUGUCAUUCCAUGCAAUAAACACUGAACACUGUUCAUUUCAGUAUAUGGACAUGGACUUUUUCUUUCUUUCUUUCUUUCUUUUUAAGAAGAGUCUCACUCUGUUGCCCAGACAGUUCAUGCAAUGGCGUGAUCUCGGCUCACUGCAACCUCCGCCUCCCAGGUGUAAGUGAUUCUUCUGCCUCAGCCUCCCGAGUAGCUGGGACUACAGGUGUGUGCCACCAUGCCUGGCUCAUUUUUGUAUUUUUAGUAGAGACCAAGUUUCACCAUCUUAGCCAAGCUGGUCUUGAACUCCUGACCUCAUAAUUUGCCUGCCUCGGCCUCCCAAAGUGUUGGGAUUACAGGCAUGAGCCACUGUCCCUGGUCGAUACAUGGACAUUUUAAAUUAAAUUACAGGAAGCUUUUUCCUCCUGAAUUUCACCUCAGGGAUUAUGCAUUAAAUCUCAUUCUGACAUCGUUUUAAAUGACCAGGUAAAGAUUAUCAUCAGAUUAUCAUGUGGCGGGAAUCAUACUGACAGUACCCUGGCAGUUUCCUGAUUCAACCUACAAAUUCGGUGCCAGCAAGUCAUUCAUACCCCCCUCUGCGGGCCCUCAAUGAAGAUUCCAGCUUCUGAGAUGCCAACUUCUCGAAGCUUAGCGACUUUAACAGUGAGUAACCAAGGGUGUCUGACAAAGACUGUCCUAUUGCCUUUCCAGCAACACAGCACCCAUGUCGUAUAGAGCCAUCUUUAGUUGCAAAUGAGACUAGAGGGUGAAAUGAAUGUUCUUAAUCUUUUAAUGCUGUACAAAUGAAGGAACAGAGUGACAAAGUCUUGUGAAUUAAAAAAGAAAAAAAAAUACGGCUGGGUAUAGUGGCUCAUCCCAGCACUUUAGGAGG